ACCCUCGUAGCUCAGUGGUAGAGCGCCAGCUUUAUAAGCUGAUGUGGUCGCAGGUUCGAUUCUUGCCGAGGGUA
rnacentral:tRNA from 1 species